AUGGUGAACUGAGAUGUUCUAUGGUCUGGAAGCAGUUGGUGGGAGCUUCACCUCCUCUAACGGCAGGAAAACUUUGGAGACACAGCUGAAGGAUUGAACAAUACCUACCAGGGAGGUAAAGAGGAUGGGGCUUUAAAACACCUACAGCUGGCUUCUACACCCCUCUGACCUGCAUUUCAGAUCGGCCCCACCAAGAUGCCUGUCUGCCUUGGCUGAUGAGGAUUGCUACCCAACAGCAAAGACCAUGUUUUCCCUUAGUGCACCAUGUUGUGGGAAGUGUUUACUGCUGCUGCUUUUACAGAGCAGAAAACCAGAGACCAUGUGGGUCCAAGCGGAGGUGCAGAGCCACGUGGAGGGUGGAUAAUUUGAGUUUUGGACACAGAGCAUCACGGGUGGUGCCUUGGCCAGCUGUGUGCUAAGGUCAGCUUGGACUUGGAGACCUUACUUUUUGCUCUUUGCCUUCUCCUUUUGUACCCCUGAGCAGAAGAGGACCAAGCCUCUGUCACCCAUACAGCACAAACUGGGAAGCACAUCCAAAAAGCAUCAGCUGGGAUGCAGCAAGCUCACAACAAGGAAAAGCAGAAAGAAGAAUGACCCCGUGCCACUGUUAGAAACAGCUUCCUGAAAGCAGCUUGCGGCCAGGAAAACCGCUGGAUGAAAUCCCUUGGAGGAGGAGAAAGUCCAGGGAGUGAUAAUGUAUUUGGCCUGUACUUCCCUGCAAUGGAGAUCUUCAUGUCUUGGACCAUGCCCUGAACAAGCUGACCUAGCUGGCUGAUAACUCCUUCACCUCCCUGUGACAGAGGGACAAAAAGAGAAGGAUGGACAGACACCUACCCAACAGCUACUCCAGAAGCCAGCACAGGAAGAGGAUGGAAGACAGGACAAACACAGGCAACUCGUGCAAGAACAGCUAUAUUAGAAUUGAGUUUGUUUUGCAGAGCACUUUCUGGAUUAGCUUCAAAUGACCAAGCUGGCUUUGGAGGAUCCACCUUCCCACCCCAUUGGUGGUUGUUUUGCCCGACUGGUAUUUCUGGCCAUUGGGAUCGCCAAAUCACUGCACCGAUGCCCAUCACGACGUUUACAGACAGAGGGACAAAAGCGUGAGUUUCUCAAAACCUCCAUUAGACUUUAUUUAAAAGUUCUUUGUAUAGACUUCCUGACACAGAAUCCACAAGAAAAAUAAAAUUCCCCCCCCCCCCCCCCACCCACCCGCCCACCUCACCCCAAAUUGCUUUGCUUUGUGUUUUAUAAAACAUACAACAUGAGAAGAAUGCCAGAGACAUUCUACACCACAAUUUAACAAUUCAUUAACUGAGGCCUUGGUCCCAGCAGUGCAUUUGCAUUUGGAAACUUUGCUUCCUUUUCCUUGCUCGUUUGGUUGGCCACAUAUGUUACAAAUGCAUAAGAGAGAUCUAGUUUGCAAAUCUGAUCCAGCGAAAGGAGAAAAACAAAAAGGAAGAACGAAACACUGAACGGCUUAUUUAUCAGCAUUAGCUACUCCCUUACACCAAGGCUUUCCAUGUGCAGUUAUGCUCAGAUAUGAAAAUGAUAAAAGCAAGCAUGUAACAGUUGCAGUGAAAUUAUUAUGAUGAUUUUUAUUUAUUUUCAUUGCUAAUUUUUCUGCUGCCUUAGAUAGGCAGGCUGCCGGAAUUGGAAAGAGAGGGUAAUUUAGAUACGUGUUCAGACACAAUAACAAUCUGCAAUCAGGUAAAUAUUUUGUAAUGUUGAAGCUAUACAAUAUAUCCCGGGCACACGUAGCACUCAGUCCACAAACAGUUUAGCACCAUAUUGAUAGGUCAUACAGCAAAACCUUUUCUUCAAGGUUUGCUUCGGAAGUUAAAAGCAUGAAAUAGUACAGUGCAAGGUAGUCUAUACCCUUAGCUUCUAUUGGGGUAAGGUGGCAACGGUGGAUGCUCCUGGCUGUCUCAGAGGUAUGUGUUGGCAGGUUGUUGGCUCUAUGUUCCUAUCGUCGUCACCACGCCAGGGCUGAUGUUACCUGAGGAAGUUUGAUGGAGAAGGGGAAGAUACAUGAGGUUACCGAGUGGGAUGCUGAGGGAGGGUAAGUGCUGCUGGUGACCGUGCUACAAAGCCCACACCGCCCUCAGUCCACUUGCAGACCCAGCACUUUUUUGCCCACUUCUGGGUGCUUACCAGGGCUGCAGGCUUUCUCACAUUCUUUCUGUGUGUUGAAUCUGUUCUCAUUGCCUCCACAGCCUCCAUACCAGAACCUGGCACAGCUCUUGGUCUUCACGUCGUAGUGCCAUUUGAGCACAAAGUCUCUGCAGGUCCCCUCCUCCUUCUGCAGCAGGCAGAUGUCCAUGACUGCAGAGAAAAGCAGGAGAAAGAAGAGUCAGCUAGAGGUCUGGGCUGCUGGGCUAAACACAGGCUCCCUCAAGACAUUUGCAUGGUAAAAAAAAAUGCCAGUGAACACGGCUGGCAUGCAAGACCAGAAGGGGGGACUGAAGCCAAGGUGUUGCCUGGUCUCCUGUGGCUGAGCCCCAUCUCUGUGUUGACAAAGAGAAGGUCUUUGCCCAGCACUGAGCCUGAGAAGAUGCCAACCCUGUUCUUCAAGCCAUCAGCUGUGUUGCUUUGUGCAUCCAUGGUGUGAAGCUGGAGUAAAGGCAGAGAGAAGGACAUGUGCCACGUGGCAACAAUUGUCAGCAGAUCCCUUCGAUUUCAAGGAAGUAAGUUGUCAUGGAGCUGAGCAGAUCAGUGCCUGACCUUGCAUGGGUCAUACCAAGCAGAGAUUUGCUGGAUGGUUUGAAGUGUGAGCUGGGAAUGAAUUCUUUUGAGAGAGAAGCGUUGGAAAGGACUCUCUUGUUCACAGACAGUUUGUUUUGCUGUGAUCUAAAAGCAGCUUGUUGAAGUAGGAUUUCUUUCUAAAUCUCUGCUUCUCCUAGGAAUUUGAAAUCAAUAUUGGAACUUCCAAUUCAGCUUUGUUAUCAGACUCCUCCAGCCAAAAGCUUCCCCAUCCCUUUGGCAAGCUUUUUUCCUUUUCUAUUUAUUCUGCUAAAAGCCCUUCUCCCUUCCGGCCUGCCUUCCAAAACACCAGCAGAUGCAAACACCAGAAUGACUCUGCUCCAAACCCUGUGCACCCUUUCAUGAAUCCAGCCAGCCAUCACUCAGCCCAUGAGAGGGAUCCUGUAUUUUCUCUUUGAGCACAAGGACAAAGCAUCCCUGCUUCUUCACCCCAUCAUACUCUUUGAUGGCAGCAGGAGCUUUCAGGAUCAACUAAUGGAUGGGGAAAUUCAAUGGCCGUGCUGGAGGCAGAUCUGAUUUCAGUGCUGGCUUCAGGAAGGCUGCUGUGCUGUGUUAGGUGAAGAUUCCCUUGAAGAGUGACCUUCCAACCUUCCAUUCACCAGCCCAGGUAUUCAUACUAUGUGGGCUGGUGCUGACCUCCAGGCUGAGAGCACUAUGGGAUGCUAUCAUUCCCCAUCUUUCAAUUGUUCCAUCCAAAAUACAGGAUGGCAUUUGGUCUGAGACCUCUCCUGCCAAAAAAAAACAAAACCAAAACAGCCUUAUCUUCAUUUUUCGAAGAGCUAAGGAGCUAAAAUGUGCUUUAAGUGCCAUCUGGCUCCAUCAUGUUCAAAAGAUGGGGGCUGCCACCAUCAGCAGGGUAUUUAAGUCAUCCCAAUAGAGAAAAUGCAUCUAAGCCUUAGGUGCACGUUUAAAUUAAACAUAUAUAUAUACCUAUAAAUUGCAAUAAUGAAAGGAUAGCCAAACACAUGUUGCUAUACAGAACUACCCACCAGCAAGGCUUCCCCGCUCCAUGAGGGUGAAAUCCUGCUCCCAACUCAAGCCAUUAGUUUCUGCAUGAGCCCCCAAACUCAGUCUCAGAGCUCACUUUGCUUCUAGCUUUCUCCCCUUUCUUUUGGGGCAAAGGGCCCCAAAAGAUUGUGAGAAGGGGAGACCGCCAUGAGGGAAAGGCUUUUGGGACUCAGGUUCCCAUCCCACCCCACUGCUUUGCCAGCACAGGUGACUGUAAGUCCCUGCUUUCUUCCCAGGUCCUUGAAACCAAAGGGCUGAGAAAUACCCUGAGCAAAGGAGCUUGUUACCACUUUCCUGCUGGCCCCUUCUUCAGCUUUCAGACCUGUGCCACAAUUUCCCUUGCAAAGUAUUUGCAGUUCUUCGCACCCCAACAAAGGCACACUGAUGAGCGAUGGCGUUGCUUAGACAUGCAGUGAUAACAAAAGAUGCUUUGGGACCGCGCUGCUGCACACUUCUUACAAUAUCCAGCCUGCUUUUGUGUUAGCUAUGGCUUGCACUUGGGUCGUGCAACCACAGCUUCUCCUGGGGUGAGACAAGGCAUGCAGGUGACUUGCUCAUGCAAAGCAGAUGGUGAGGCAUGGCCACAUCGGGGAGCAAAUGCAAACCAAGGUGCUUCUGGUGAUCUCAUAGUGGGCAAGCAUGGAUGAAUGCUGUGAAAUGGUGAAGGUGAAUGAUGGAUGUGCUUUAUUUUAUGGUUAAUUUUUCGGUGUGUUACCUGGCGAUAAUCUUUUCUCAAGGGGUGGCUGCUGCAUGGCUUUCUCAGCUGCUGCUGGAGGAAAAAGUGUGUUGGUUUGGUGUUUAAAGGAUGUUUUCUCUCUGAUCCAAACGUUAUUUGAAACUCCAAUAAAAAGUGGAAGGAUUAACCCCCGUGUGGUACUUACA